UACGAAGGGUGCAAGCGUUACUCGGAAUUACUGGGCGUAAAGCGUGCGCAGGCGGUUAUGCAAGACAGAUGUGAAAUCCCCGGGCUUAACCUGGGAACCGCAUUUGUGACUGCAUAGCUGGAGUACGGCAGAGGGGGAUGGAAUUCCGCGUGUAGCAGUGAAAUGCGUAGAUAUGCGGAGGAACACCGAUGGCGAAGGCAGUCCCCUGGGCCUGUACUGACGCUCAUGCACGAAAGCGUGGGGAGCAAACAGG
rnacentral:rRNA from 1 species